rnacentral:lncRNA from 1 species
GUUGCUCCCCUUGUUCACUCCUGCAGGGAGAACUUCCCAUCGAAAAAUUGCUUGCAGGAAACAUUAGGCCGCCCUUCUCCUGUGCAAAGGUGAAAUGGCUGCACGUCGAGCAAGAAACGUGAGGGUCCCCAGCCACGCAUUUAGUAUCUCAAGCAAUGAAGUUAUUACACCGUAGAAAGAGGACAUACAAGCCUCAUGCAACCUUUCCUAAGAUUUUCUCUUCUGCUGGUCCAGUUUGGAUGUCAUUCUGUUUCUUACAACCAAUGGCUAAGGAGACAUCACUGGAAUUAAGCAUGAUGGCAGGUGCUUGCAUUUCUACCCAGCGGGCUGAGGCAGAAGCAUUUCUUCAGGCCAGCCUUGAUA